AGAGUUUGAUCAUGGCUCAGGAUGAACGCUGGCGGCGUGCUUAACACAUGCAAGUCGAACGGAGAGCUUCUAACAGAGGGUUCGUCCAAUGAAGGAAGUUUCUUAGUGGCGGACGGGUGAGUAACGCGUGAGUAACCUGCCUUGGAGUGGGGAAUAACACAGGGAAACUUGUGCUAAUACCGCAUAAAGCAGUUGGGUCGCAUGACUCUGACUGCCAAAGAUUUAUCGCUCUGAGAUGGACUCGCGUCUGAUUAGCUAGUUGGUGGGGUAAUGGCCCACCAAGGCGACGAUCAGUAGCCGGACUGAGAGGUUGGCCGGCCACAUUGGGACUGAGAUACGGCCCAGACUCCUACGGGAGGCAGCAGUGGGGAAUAUUGGGCAAUGGGCGCAAGCCUGACCCAGCAACGCCGCGUGAAGGAAGAAGGCUUUCGGGUUGUAAACUUCUUUUGUCAGGGACGAAAAAAAUGACGGUACCUGACGAAUAAGCCACGGCUAACUACGUGCCAGCAGCCGCGGUAAUACGUAGGUGGCAAGCGUUAUCCGGAUUUACUGGGUGUAAAGGGCGUGUAGGCGGGAAAGCAGGUCAGAUGUGAAAACUAUGGGCUCAACCCAUAGCCUGCAUUUGAAACUGUUUUUCUUGAGUGUCGGAGAGGUAAUCGGAAUUCCGUGUGUAGCGGUGAAAUGCGUAGAUAUACGGAGGAACACCAGUGGCGAAGGCGGAUUACUGGACGAUAACUGACGCUGAGGCGCGAAAGCGUGGGGAGCAAACAGGAUUAGAUACCCUGGUAGUCCACGCCGUAAACGAUGGAUACUAGGUGUGGGGGGUCUGACCCCCUCCGUGCCGCAGUUAACACAAUAAGUAUCCCACCUGGGGAGUACGAUCGCAAGGUUGAAACUCAAAGGAAUUGACGGGGGCCCGCACAAGCGGUGGAGUAUGUGGUUUAAUUCGAAGCAACGCGAAGAACCUUACCAGGGCUUGACAUGGAGACGACCGGACUAGAGAUAGUCCUUCCUUCGGGGCGUCUCACACAGGUGGUGCAUGGUUGUCGUCAGCUCGUGUCGUGAGAUGUUGGGUUAAGUCCCGCAACGAGCGCAACCCUUAUUGUUAGUUGCUACGCAAGAGCACUCUAGCGAGACUGCCGUUGACAAAACGGAGGAAGGUGGGGACGACGUCAAAUCAUCAUGCCCCUUAUGUCCUGGGCCACACACGUACUACAAUGGUGGUAAACAGAGGGAAGCAAGACCGCGAGGUGGAGCAAACCCCUAAAAGCCAUCCCAGUUCGGAUCGCAGGCUGAAACCCGCCUGCGUGAAGUUGGAAUCGCUAGUAAUCGCGGACCAGCAUGCCGCGGUGAAUACGUUCCCGGGCCUUGUACACACCGCCCGUCACACCAUGAGAGUCGGGAACACCCGAAGUCCGUAGCCUAACCGCAAGGGGGGCGCGGCCGAAGGUGGGUUCGAUAAUUGGGGUGAAGUCGUAACAAGGUAGCCGUAUCGGAAGGUGCGGCUGGAUCACCUCCUU
rnacentral:rRNA from 1 species